AGUGUUGGUCCACGCGGCCGUCAGGAAGGUUGAAUUUAGUCGCUCUCUUUCUGCGCCUACAUCACUUAACUCGGACUGAAAACAGUGACGAAAUCGGAAAAUUUCAGAUUGAUUAACGAACUUUGAUAAACGUAGAAAAUACUUUGAACGCGUUCUUGCCGUCUUGAAGAAACACAGCCACCAUUUUGCUACGGGAAAGGAAGGAGCUAAGAAAAAGGUACAGAUAACGAAAGAUAGAGAAAGAGAGAGAAAAUAAAAGUGCCAAGAACACUAAAGAUAACGAAUAAAGUGAUAUAAAAAAAGGAGAGACAGACGAACAUAGACGGACAAACCGAAAGAGAGAGAGAGAGAGAGAAGAGAAGAGAAGAAUAAAUCUGACAAGAGUUCACGACCGUCUUCCUCAACAACUAUGAAGACCUACGCCACCCUUGCAUGCGUGGUCAUCAGCAUCUUCUUGUGCACAGGUACGUUGUCCAGAUUAUCGGCGCUGCAGAGGCAAGCGACACGACGUAUGUAAAUAUUUUCUGCUUUAGAUUUCAGUGUUAAUGAUUUACGAAUGAGAUGAAGAGCAGGAGGAAGAAGAAGAAGAAGGGGAGAAGGAGAAGAUGAUGAUGGUUAUGAUAGUCAUAUAAGGGGGGAUAAUAAUAAUGGAUAAGACGAGGGUGGUGAUAAUGGAUAAGUUGGUCAUCUUGCUAUUGAGUUGAUAGUGAAGGUAGUAGGGAUUAUGGGGAUAGAAGUAUCAAUCAGGGUGAUAGUGA